GUUGGGGGAAAGCGGAUUGAACAAAAAGAAAAUAAAAAUAACUAAAAUACCAGUUGGAUUGAUUGCUUUACCCCUCACUUAAAGUCUAGAUUAAGAAGAAAGGUGGGGAAGACACUGUGGGAAGGACAGAAGAAAUCAGAAAGCAAGAAAAAAAUUGGAAGAAGGACUGAGACCCUUUGGAGACCUGCCCCCUUUAUCAUGACGAUGAUGGGGACUGUGGCCAUGCACCCGCCAAUCCCUGAAUGAAUUUGACCAGCAAUGAACCCCAAGCCCCAGGCUGGAAAACACUCUCAGAGAACCCAGGAUGUACAAAUAAGAAGAAAAUGUGUUCGAAGACUCCUGGUAACCAGAGGAGAAAUGGUUCUCUGCAUUCCCAGGAAGGCCACGUGAAGACACGAGACAUGCAGAGGCGAACACCACGUGAUGAUGGAGAAAGUGACUGGAGUUAUGCUGCAACUGGCCCAGGAACCCCAGAACCACCUGAAACUGAAAGA